rnacentral:rRNA from 1 species
AGAGUUUGAUCCUGGCUCAGGAUGACCUUUGGCGGCAUGCCUAAGACAUGCAAGUCGAACGGAGUAAUUCACUGAUAUUUUUGUGCUUGCAUACAAACGGAAGUGAUCGUUACUUAGUGGCGAACGGGUGAGUAACACGUGGGUAAUCUACCCAUCAGAUUGGAACAACACAGGGAAACUUGUGCUAAUACCAAAUAAUAAAUAAGAAUGAUUUUUUUAUUUUGAAAGGAGCCUUUAAAGCUCCGCUGAUGGAUGAGCCUGCGGCGUAUUAGUUAGUUGGUAAGGUAAUGGCUUACCAAGACUUCGAUGCGUAGCCGAACUGAGAGGUUGAUCGGCCACACUGGGACUGAGACACGGCCCAGACUCCUACGGGAGACAGCAGUUAGGAAUAUUCGUCAAUGGGGGAAACCCUGAACGAGCGAUGUCGCGUGAGUGAAGAAGGUCCUUUGGAUUGUAAAGCUCUGUUGUAUGGGAAGAACAGCUAGAUUAGGAAAUGAAUCUAGUCUGACGGUACCAUGCCAGAAAGCACCGGCAAACUAUGUGCCAGCAGCCGCGGUAAUACAUAGGGUGCGAGCGUUAUCCGGAUUUAUUGGGCGUAAAGCGUGUGUAGGCGGUUUACUAAGUAUGGAAUCAAAGCCUGGGGCUCAACCCCAGUUCGUUUCAUAAACUGGUAGACUUGAGUAUGGUAGAGGCAAAUGGAAUUUCUAGUGUAGCGGUAAAAUGUGUAGAUAUUAGAAGGAACAUCAGUGGCGAAGGCGAUUUGCUGGGCCAUUACUGACGCUGAGACACGAAAGCGUGGGAGCAAAUAGGAUUAGAUACCCUAGUAGUCCACGCAGUAAAAAAGGAGUACUAAGUGUCGGAAUUUUUCCGGGGCUGAAGUUAACACAUUAAGUACUCCGCCUGAGUAGUACAGUCGCAAGACCGGAACUCAAAGGAAAUGGCGGGGCACCCGCACAAACCGUGGGAGCAUGCUGUUUAAAUUGGAGCUACGCGAAGAACCCUAACCUAGACUUGACAUGCCGAUGACCGGCUUAGAAAUAAGCUUUUCCCUUCGGGNACAUCGGACACAGGUGGUGCAUGGUUGUCGUCAGCUCGUGUCGUGAGAUGUUUGGUUAAGUCCAAUAACGAGCGCAACCCCUAUCUUUAGUUGCUAACAUUAAGUUGAGAACCCUAAAGAUACUGUCGGUAAUAAAUCGAAGGAAGGUGGGGAUGAUGUCAAAUCAUCAUGCCCCUUAUGUCUGGGGCAACAGGCGUGCUACAAUGGCCGGUAUAAAAAGAUGCAAUAUAGUGAUAUGGAGCAAAUCUCAAAAGCCGGUCUCAGUUCGGAUUGAAGUCUGCAACUCGACUUCAUGAAGUUGGAAUCGCUAGUAAUCCUGAAUCAGAAUGUCAGGGUGAAUACGUUCUCGGGUGUUGCACACACCGCCCGUCA